AUGGAAGAUUCAGAGGAAGAGGAUGCGUCAGCGAAGGAAGAUGCAGAGGAGGCCGCUGGUGGUGGCGAGUGGUGUGCCCGCGGUGGAUGUUGUGUCGGUCGAUUUGUCGAGCUCCGACAACGACAAAUAGCACGAGGAUCAUGGCGGCAAUGGGAGAUUCGGAGGAAGAGGAUGUGUCGGGGAAGGAAGAUGAGGAGGAGGCCGAUGGUACCGACGAGGUAUGCAUCCCCUCGUGGGAGGAGGCGGAAAGGGAGUAUGAGUGGGCGCUACCCAAGGAGGAGCACCGGGGUGGGAUGGCUCAUCGCGCACGUCGUGUUGGAAAGGUCCAUCGGCGACGAGCGUGAGAUAGUCGAGAAUCACCAUGACAGCGAGAACAAGAGCUGCUCUUUUAGCGCCGAUGACUUGAAGGUACCAUGGUGGAGCAUCCAUGAUGCCGAUGAGUCGCUCGGGGAAGGCGUAUUUGAUCUACCUCUCUUCCGAUAA
rnacentral:rRNA from 1 species